UACGUAGGAUGCGAGCGUUGUCCGGAAUCACUGGGCGUAAAGCGCGCGUAGGCGGCGCCCCGCGUCGGCGGUGAAAACCUGCAGCUCAACUGCAGGCUUGCGGUCGAUACGGGCAGGCUGGAGUUCGGUAGGGGAGACUGGAAUUCCCGGUGUAGCGGUGAAAUGCGCAGAUAUCGGGAAGAACACCGGUGGCGAAGGCGGCUCUCUGGGCCUGUCCUGACGCUCAGGCGCGAAAGCUAGGGGAGCGAACAGG
rnacentral:rRNA from 1 species